rnacentral:rRNA from 1 species
UAGGGAAUAUUGGACAAUGGGGGCAACCCUGAUCCAGCCAUGCCGCGUGAGUGAAGAAGGCCCUCGGGUUGUAAAGCUCUUUUGUCCGGAAAGAAAAGCUUCGGGUUAAUACCCCGGGGUUCUGACGGUACCGGAAGAAUAAGCACCGGCUAACUUCGUGCCAGCAGCCGCGGUAAUACGAAGGGCGCAAGCGUUACUCGGAAUUACUGGGCGUAAAGCGUGCGUAGGUGGUUGUUUAAGUCUGAUGUGAAAGCCCUGGGCUCAACCUGGGAAUGGCAUUGGGAACUGGGCAGCUAGAGUGCGGUAGAGGGUAGUGGAAUUCCCGGUGUAGCAGUGAAAUGCGUAGAGAUCGGGAGGGACAUCUGUGGCGAAGGCGACUGCCUGGACCAGCACUGACACUGAGGCACGAAAGCGUGGGGAGCAAACA